rnacentral:rRNA from 1 species
UACGUAGGGUGCGAGCGUUAAUCGGAAUUACUGGGCGUAAAGCGUGCGCAGGCGGUUUGUUAAGACAGAUGUGAAAUCCCCGGGCUUAACCUGGGAACUGCAUUUGUGACUGGCAAGCUAGAGUAUGGCAGAGGGGGGUAGAAUUCCACGUGUAGCAGUGAAAUGCGUAGAGAUGUGGAGGAAUACCGAUGGCGAAGGCAGCCCCCUGGGCCAAUACGUGACGCUCAUGCACGAAAGCGUGGGGAGCAAACAGG